rnacentral:rRNA from 1 species
CGGACGGGUGAGUAAUGUCUGGGAAACUGCCUGAUGGAGGGGGAUAACUACUGGAAACGGUAGCUAAUACCGCAUAACGUCGCAAGACCAAAGAGGGGGACCUUCGGGUCUCUUGCCAUCGGAUGUGCCCAGAUGGGAUUAGCUAGUAGGUGGGGUAAAGGCUCACCUAGGCGACGAUCCCUAGCUGGUCUGAGAGGAUGACCAGCCACACUGGAACUGAGACACGGUCCAG